rnacentral:rRNA from 1 species
CUACGGGCUGCUGCAGUGGGGAAUAUUGCACAAUGGGCGCAAGCCUGAUGCAGCCAUGCCGCGUGUAUGAAGAAGGCCUUCGGGUUGUAAAGUACUUUCAGCGGGGAGGAAGGGAGUAAAGUUAAUACCUUUGCUCAUUGACGUUACCUGCAGAAGAAGCACCGGCUAAGUCCGUGCCAGCAGCCGCGGUAAUACGGAGGGUGCAAGCGUUAAUCGGAAUUACUGGGCGUAAAGCGCGUGCAGGCGGUUUGUUAAGUCAGAUGUGAAAUCCCCGGGCUCAACUUGGGAACUGCAUCUGAUACUGGCAAGCUUGAGUGUCGUAGAGGGGGGUAGAAUUCCAGGUGUAGCGGUGAAAUGCGUAGAGAUCUGGAGGAAUACCGGUGGCGAAGGCGGCCCCCUGGACGAAGACUGACGCUCAGGUGCGAAAGCGUGGGGAGCAAACAGGAUUAGAUACCCCCGUAGUC